UACGUAGGGGGCAAGCGUUGUCCGGAUUUAUUGGGCGUAAAGAGCGUGUAGGCGGCUAGAUAGGUCCGUUGUGAAAACUCGAGGCUCAACCUCGAGACGUCGAUGGAAACCAUCUGGCUAGAGUCCGGAAGAGGAGAGUGGAAUUCCUGGUGUAGCGGUGAAAUGCGCAGAUAUCAGGAGGAACACCUGCGGUGUAGACGGCUUACUGGACCAUAACUGACGCUGAGGCACGAAAGCGUGGGUAGCAAACAGG
rnacentral:rRNA from 1 species